AUGUCUGCCUGCAGCACACGUCAGGAUGCUGAAUUUAUUAGUGUUUCCUCUUCUCCGGUGCCGGCUUUCCUUGAGCCACAUUAUCUUUCUUCCCUUGACGCCGACUCUUCUUGGAGGCCAAGAAAGAAGCCAACAGGGUUCCCCAAGGUCUCAGAAGAUUAUCUCACACAGAGCUGUUGGAAUUACUUCGUGAUGAUUUCAAAGAAAAUUUUCUUCUCUAAACACUCUUAUCCCAAGAUCUGUCACGUCCAGAGGGUCUUCUGCCUUGCAAGGGGAAACAGUGAAUGCACAUCUGGCCCUUCAUUUCACAGAAGUUGGCAGAUAGCUCAGUUAGAGACAGAUUUAUGGAAAAGAGAACUACUCUAUUUUCAAACACAUCAAAAAAAGAAAACUGAAACCAGCGACAUGGAGAAGUUGCCAUUCUCCCUGAGUCACCGUAACACCUCUGCAGAUCUGCCACAGCAGAAGGAAGUCGUGUUGGCAGUAGGAAACAAGAUAAAGCGAAGAACUCAAAGAACUGAGAGAAGGUUUUGAACAUGAUGAUGAAGAAAUAACACUCUUGGGAGAAAUGAAGAUACUUUCUCCUCCCUGGUUUACCUGAUUUUCCAGCACCCAGUGAUAAGAGAGGAUGGCAUUCAUGAUGUGUACACCUGCAGCGAUAUCUUCACCUUUCUAAAGCAGAUGCCAUGGUAGACAUUUUGCCAGCCCUCCUUUCACUAUACACACAGCUUGGUGUACGCUGGCAGACCUUUUACCUAAUCUCUUAACCCUCAUAUCUUCCAAGACAGAACUAAGCACAUGAUAAAACCUGAAUGAGUCCGGCUGCAGUGGCUCAUGCCUGUAAUCCCAGCACUUUAGGAGGCCGAGGGGUGGGCAGAUCACUUGAGGUCAGGAGUUUGAGACAGCCUGGGCAACAUGGUGAAACCCUUUCUCUACUAAAAUACAAAAAUUAGCUGGGCAUGGUGGCGUGCACCUGUAAUCCCAUUGGCUCAGGAGGCUGCAGCAGGAGAAUCAUCCGAACCUGGGAAGCGGAGAUUGUAGUGAGCUGAGAUUGUGCCACUGCACUCCAACCUGACCGGCAGAGCAGUACUCCAUCUCAAGAAAAAAAAAAGAAAAACCUGAAUGAGGCCGGAUGUGGUGGCUCAUGCCUGUAGUCCCAGCACCUUGGGAACCUGAGGUGUGGGGAGAUAAUUUGAAGUCAGGAGUUUGAGACCAACCUGGGCAAUGUAGUAAAACCCCAUUUCUACUGAAAAUACAAAAAUUAGCUGGGUGUGGUGGAAGAUGCCUGUAAUCCCAGAUACUGGGGAGGCUGAGACAUGAGAAUUGCUUGAACCAAGGAGGAGGAGGUUCCAGUGAGCCAAGAUUGUGCCACUGUAUGCCAGCCUGGACAACAGAACAAGACUCCAUCACAAAAAGAAACAAACAAAAAACGGAAUGAAUGGAAGCAGAUAACAUGCAGAGAGAAACAUUGAUUUAACUUCAGGAAGAUAGACAACUAGUAUUUUGGUAUACUUGUGUAUUGCUAUCUACUAGUAUAUCUUCAAUUGGUGUAUGAAUAUAGAACUACUGGAUUGUUCUUUAUGUGAUUACUGCUUCCUAGUUUUAGUAAAAGAUUCCAACUUAAGGGAAAUGUUUUUCUUUGUUAAUAAAAUAGAGAAAAGCUUUAAAAUAUGUAUAAUU
rnacentral:lncRNA from 13 species